rnacentral:rRNA from 1 species
AGAGUUUGAUCAUGGCUCAGGAUGAACGCUGGCGGCGUGCCUAAUACAUGCAAGUCGAGCGAACGGACGAGAAGCUUGCUUCUCUGAUGUUAGCGGCGGACGGGUGAGUAACACGUGGAUAACCUACCUAUAAGACUGGGAUAACUUCGGGAAACCGGAGCUAAUACCGGAUAAUAUUUUGAACCGCAUGGUUCAAAAGUGAAAGACGGUCUUGCUGUCACUUAUAGAUGGAUCCGCGCUGCAUUAGCUAGUUGGUAAGGUAACGGCUUACCAAGGCAACGAUGCAUAGCCGACCUGAGAGGGUGAUCGGCCACACUGGAACUGAGACACGGUCCAGACUCCUACGGGAGGCAGCAGUAGGGAAUCUUCCGCAAUGGGCGAAAGCCUGACGGAGCAACGCCGCGUGAGUGAUGAAGGUCUUCGGAUCGUAAAACUCUGUUAUUAGGGAAGAACAUAUGUGUAAGUAACUGUGCACAUCUUGACGGUACCUAAUCAGAAAGCCACGGCUAACUACGUGCCAGCAGCCGCGGUAAUACGUAGGUGGCAAGCGUUAUCCGGAAUUAUUGGGCGUAAAGCGCGCGUAGGCGGUUUUUUAAGUCUGAUGUGAAAGCCCACGGCUCAACCGUGGAGGGUCAUUGGAAACUGGAAAACUUGAGUGCAGAAGAGGAAAGUGGAAUUCCAUGUGUAGCGGUGAAAUGCGCAGAGAUAUGGAGGAACACCAGUGGCGAAGGCGACUUUCUGGUCUGUAACUGACGCUGAUGUGCGAAAGCGUGGGGAUCAAACAGGAUUAGAUACCCUGGUAGUCC